rnacentral:rRNA from 1 species
GACGAACGCUGGCGGCGUGCCUAAUACAUGCAAGUAGAACGCUGAAGGAGGAGCUUGCUUCUCUGGAUGAGUUGCGAACGGGUGAGUAACGCGUAGGUAACCUGCCUGGUAGCGGGGGAUAACUAUUGGAAACGAUAGCUAAUACCGCAUAAUAGUAGAUGUUGCAUGACAUUUGCUUAAAAGGUGCAAUUGCAUCACUACCAGAUGGACCUGCGUUGUAUUAGCUAGUUGGUGAGGUAACGGCUCACCAAGGCAACGAUACAUAGCCGACCUGAGAGGGGGAUCGGCCAAACUGGGAAUGGGACACGGCCCAGACUCCUACGGGAGGCAGCAGUAGGGAAUCUUCGGCAAUGGACGGAAGUCUGACCGAGCAACGCCGCGUGGGUGAAGAAGGUUUUCGGAUCGUAAAGCUCUGUUGUAAGAGAAGAACGAGGGUGAGAGUAGAAAGUUCACACUGUGACGGUAUCUUACCAGAAAGGGACGGCUAACUACGUG